rnacentral:rRNA from 1 species
GUCGCUCCUACCGAUUGGAUGGUCCGGUGAAAUCUUUGGAUUGCUGUGAAAAACUGGGAAACCAGUGUCAURGUGAGAAGUUGAUUAAAUCUUAUCAUCUAGAGGAAGGAGAAGUCGUAACAAGGUUUCCGUAGGUGAACCUGCAGAAGGAUCA